rnacentral:rRNA from 1 species
AGAGUUUGAUCAUGGCUCAGAUUGAACGCUGGCGGCAUGCCUUACACAUGCAAGUCGAACGGCAGCGCGGGAGCAAUCCUGGCGGCGAGUGGCGAACGGGUGAGUAAUACAUCGGAACGUGCCCAAUCGUGGGGGAUAACGCAGCGAAAGCUGUGCUAAUACCGCAUACGAUCUACGGAUGAAAGCAGGGGAUCGCAAGACCUUGCGCGAAUGGAGCGGCCGAUGGCAGAUUAGGUAGUUGGUGAGGUAAAGGCUCACCAAGCCUUCGAUCUGUAGCUGGUCUGAGAGGACGACCAGCCACACUGGGACUGAGACACGGCCCAGACUCCUACGGGAGGCAGCAGUGGGGAAUUUUGGACAAUGGGCGAAAGCCUGAUCCAGCCAUGCCGCGUGCAGGAUGAAGGCCUUCGGGUUGUAAACUGCUUUUGUACGGAACGAAACGGCUCUUUCUAAUAAAGAGGGCUAAUGACGGUACCGUAAGAAUAAGCACCGGCUAACUACGUGCCAGCAGCCGCGGUAAUACGUAGGGUGCAAGCGUUAAUCGGAAUUACUGGGCGUAAAGCGUGCGCAGGCGGUAAUGUAAGACAGGUGGUGAAAUCCCCGGGCUCACCCUGGGAACUGCAUCUGUGACUGCAUUGCUGGAGUACGGCAGAGGGGGAUGGAGUCAACUGGUUGUGGGUUCUUCACCUACUCAGGUACGGAGGCUACCGCUGGAAGUUGACCGCCUGGGAGUACCGCCGCAGGUUGGACCUCAAGGGAAUGACGGGGACCCGCACAAGCGUUGGAUGAUGUGUUUUAUUCGAUGCAACGCGAAAACCUUACCNACUUUUGACAUGUACGGAAUUCGCCAGAGAUGGCUUAGUGCUCGAAAGAGAACCGUAACACAGGUGCUGCAUGGCUGUCGUCAGCUCGUGUCGUGAGAUGUUGGGUUAAGUCCCGCAACGAGCGCAACCCUUGUCAUUAGUUGCUACAUUUAGUUGGGCACUCUAAUGAGACUGCCGGUGACAAACCGGAGGAAGGUGGGGAUGACGUCAAGUCCUCAUGGCCCUUAUAGGUGGGGCUACACACGUCAUACAAUGGCUGGUACAAAGGGUUGCCCACCCGCGAGGGGGAGCUAAUCCCAUAAAACCAGUCGUAGUCCGGAUCGCAGUCUGCAACUCGACUGCGUGAAGUCGGAAUCGCUAGUAAUCGUGGAUCAGAAUGUCACGGUGAAUACGUUCCCGGGUCUUGUACACACCGCCCGUCACACCAUGGGAGCGGGUUCUGCCAGAAGUAGUUAGCCUAACCGCAAGGAGGGCGAUUACCACGGCAGGGUUCGUGACUGGGGUGAAGUCGUAACAAGGUAGCCGUAUCGGAAGGUGCGGUUGGAUCACCUCCU